rnacentral:rRNA from 1 species
UACGUAGGAGGCAAGCGUUGUCCGGAAUUACUGGGUGUAAAGCGCGUGUAGGCGGCAGGCCAAGUCUGUGGUGAAAUCGCUCGGCUCAACUGGGCGGGGUCCAUGGAAACUGGUCAGCUGGAGUACUGCAGGGGAGACUGGAAUUCCUGGUGUAGCGGUGGAAUGCGCAGAUAUCAGGAGGAACACCGGUGGCGAAGGCGGGUCUCUGGGCAGUAACUGACGCUGAGGAGCGAAAGCGUGGGGAGCGAACAGG